rnacentral:sRNA from 1 species
GAUAGUUCUUUACUUGGGCUAAGGAUCAAGCUGGUAAUUUUUCUUACAUCUCCCCCUCCCGGAGCCCAAUUAUCAUAUACGCCCCCAAAAUUAC